AACGAACGCUGGCGGCGUGGAUAAGACAUGCAAGUCGAACGGGAUUUUUUUCUGUAGCAAUACAGGAAUAAGUCUAGUGGCGAACGGGUGCGUAACACGUGAGCAACCUGCCGUGAAGUGGGGGAUAGCUCGCCGAAAGGCGAACUAAUACCGCAUGUGGCCAAGGAAGACAUCUUCCUGACGCCAAAGCCGGGGCAACCUGGCGCUUCUCGAGGGGCUCGCGGCCUAUCAGCUUGUUGGUGAGGUAACGGCUCACCAAGGCUAUGACGGGUAGCUGGUCUGAGAGGACGACCAGCCACACUGGAACUGAGACACGGUCCAGACACCUACGGGUGGCAGCAGUCGAGAAUUUUUCACAAUGGGGGAAACCCUGAUGGAGCGACGCCGCGUGGAGGAUGAAGGUUUUCGGAUUGUAAACUCCUGUCAUUAGAGAACAAGGCACACGGUUUAACCGGCCGUGUGUUGAUAGUAUCUGAAGAGGAAGAGACGGCUAACCCUGUGCCAGCCGCCGCGGUAA
rnacentral:rRNA from 1 species